rnacentral:tRNA from 1 species
UCCUCAGUAGCUCAGUGGUAGAGCUAUCGGCUGUUAACCGAUUGGUCGUAAGUUCAAGUCUUACCUGAGGAG